rnacentral:rRNA from 1 species
UACGUAGGGGGCAAGCGUUGUCCGGAUUUAUUGGGCGUAAAGAGCGUGUAGGCGGUUUGGUAGGUCCGCUGUGAAAACUCGAGCUCAACCUCGAGACGCCGGUGGAAACCAUCAGACUAGAGUCCGGAAGAGGAGAGUGGAAUUCCUGGUGUAGCGGUGAAAUGCGCAGAUAUCAGGAAGAACACCCGUGGCUAAGGCGGCUCUCUAGUACGGUACUGACGCUGAGACGCGACAGCGUGGGGAGCAAACAGG